rnacentral:tRNA from 1 species
GCCGCCUUAGCUCAGCUGGUAAGAGCAUCUGUCUUGUAAACAGAAGGUCGUCGGUUCGAAUCCGACAGGCGGCU